rnacentral:rRNA from 1 species
GACGAACGCUGGCGGCGUGCUUAACACAUGCAAGUCGAACGGAAAGGCCCUGCUUUUGUGGGGUGCUUGAGUGGCGAACGGGUGAGUAACACGUGAGUAACCUGCCCUUGACUUUGGGAUAACUUCAGGAAACUGGGGCUAAUACCGGAUAGGAGCUCCUGCUGCAUGGUGGGGGUUGGAAAGUUUCGGCGGUUGGGGAUGGACUCGCGGCUUAUCAGCUUGUUGGUGGGGUAGUGGCUUACCAAGGCUUUGACGGGUAGCCGGCCUGAGAGGGUGGCCGGCCACAUUGGGACUGAGAUACGGCCCAGACUCCUACGGGAGGCAGCAGUGGGGAAUAUUGCACAAUGGGCGGAAGCCUGAUGCAGCAACGCCGCGUGCGGGAUGACGGCCUUCGGGUUGUAAACCGCUUUCGCCUGUGACGAAGCGUGAGUGACGGUAAUGGGUAAAGAAGCACCGGCUAACUACGUG